CACGAAGGGGGCUAGCGUUGUUCGGAUUUACUGGGCGUAAAGGGCGCGUAGGCGGCCACCGCAAGUCGAUUGUGAAAUCUCCGGGCUUAACCCGGAAAGGUCAACCGAUACUGCGGGGCUAGAGUGCAGAAGGGGCAACUGGAAUUCUCGGUGUAGCGGUGAAAUGCGUAGAUAUCGAGAGGAACACCUGCGGCGAAGGCGGGUUGCUGGGCUGACACUGACGCUGAAGUGCGAAAGCUAGGGGAGCGAACGGG
rnacentral:rRNA from 1 species